GACGACGCUGGCGGCGUGCCUCAAACAUGCAAGUCGAGCGAGGUGAGACCGAACCGCAAGGUGAGGUUGAACCUAGCGGCGAACGGGUGAGUAACACGUGGGUAACCUGCCUGGAAGAUUGGGAUAACGGCUCGAAAGAGUCGCUAAAUACCGGAUAAUGUCCUGGGUGCUGCAUGGCACCGGGAAGAAAGGGGAAACCCGCUUUCAGAUCGGGCCCGCGCCCCAUCAGCUAGUUGGUAAGGUAACGGCUUACCAAGGCGACGACGGGUAGCCGGUCUGAGAGGACGAUCGGCCACACUGGGACUGAGAUACGGCCCAGACUCCUACGGGAGGCAGCAGUUGGGAAUCUUAGGCAAUGGGCGAAAGCCUGACCUAGCGACGCCGCGUGAGGGAAGAAGGCCUUCGGGUCGUAAACCUCUGUCAUGGGGGACGAAGAAAGUGACGGUACCCCAGGAGGAAGCCCCUGCUAACUACGUG
rnacentral:rRNA from 1 species